rnacentral:rRNA from 1 species
GAUGAACGCUGGCGGCGUGCCUAAUACAUGCAAGUCGAGCGAACAGACGAGGAGCUUGCUCCUCUGACGUUAGCGGCGGACGGGUGAGUAACACGUGGAUAACCUACCUAUAAGACUGGGAUAACUUCGGGAAACCGGAGCUAAUACCGGAUAAUAUAUUGAACCGCAUGGUUCAAUAGUGAAAGACGGUUUUGCUGUCACUUAUAGAUGGAUCCGCGCCGCAUUAGCUAGUUGGUAAGGUAACGGCUUACCAAGGCAACGAUGCGUAGCCGACCUGAGAGGGGGAUCGGCCACACUGGAACUGAGACACGGUCCAGACUCCUACGGGAGGCAGCAGUAGGGAAUCUUCCGCAAUGGGCGAAAGCCUGACGGAGCAACGCCGCGUGAGUGAUAAAGGUCUUCGGAUCGUAAAACUCUGUUAUUAGGGAAGAACAAAUGUGUAAGUAACUAUGCACGUCUUGACGGUACCUAAUCAGAAAGCCACGGCUAACUACGUG